ACGGACCCUCCAGCAGACAACAAAGGCUGGGGCGGUCCCCGGACCCCCCAGCGAAGGCAAUCCCGGACGAGCCCCCAUAUGUUACACCCCGGCCUAGGCAACCGGAGUGCAACACGAAAAAAAGUAAAAAUAAAGAAAAAAAAACACACAAAAAACCCCCACUAAAGCUCACCACCAAAAUCCCAAAACGAAACUAUUUACAACAAACUAUUUAUUUACAACAAAACACCAAACUAUUUACAACACGGGGGAGAUCGCGACC
ensembl:lncRNA